rnacentral:rRNA from 1 species
GAUGAACGCUGGCGGCGUGCCUAAUACAUGCAAGUAGAACGCUGAAGGAGGAGCUUGCUCUUCUGGAUGAGUUGCGAACGGGUGAGUAACGCGUAGGUAACCUGCCUGGUAGCGGGGGAUAACUAUUGGAAACGAUAGCUAAUACCGCAUGACAACAGUUAUUGCAUGAUAACUGUUUAAAAGGGGCAACUGCUCCACUACCAGAUGGACCUGCGUUGUAUUAGCUAGUUGGUGAGGUAACGGCUCACCAAGGCGACGAUACAUAGCCGACCUGAGAGGGUGAUCGGCCACACUGGGACGGAGACACGGCCCAGACUCCUACGGGAGGCAGCAGUAGGGAAUCUUCGGCAAUGGACGGAAGGCUGACCGAGCAACGCCGCGUGAGUGAAGAAGGUUUUCGGAUCGUAAAGCUCUGUUGUAAGAGAAGAACGAGUGUGAGAGUGGAAAGUUCACACUGUGACGGUAUCUUACCAGAAAGGGACGGCUAACUACG